AGCGUGAAUUGUGAAGGGCAUCUCAAGGACCUCUUCCUAAGAGGGUCCUCAAAGACCACUUAAUAAGGAGCCUGACAUCUUCCUAAGCCUUUAAAAUCCAUCAUCCCAAGGGACCCCACCCACCAACAAUAGAAGGGAUUUUUCUAUUUGACCAUCUACCAUGCUAGAAUAUUAGAUACUGAGGAUUUAAAGCUGAAUAAGACUCAGUUCCAGUCUUCCAGAAGUUCAAAGGAUAUCAGAAGAGAACACAGACUUGCAAACAAUUACAGAGCAGUAGGAUGAUUGCAAGGAUGGAGAGAGCAAGAAGAGAAAGUUCUCGAUCUUCCCCGGGAACAAGCAAGACCUCAUUUGAGCUGAGACUUUAAAAAAAGAGACAGUCUGUCCAAAUUUCAUCUACUCGGUGUUAUUUCGAACACAUCAUUAAGAGCUAACAUUUUAGGACCUUUAUGUGCCAGGCACUGUGGCAGCCACUAUGUGUAUUUGCUCAUAUGCUCCCAAAGAAACCCAGGGAUGUAGACGAUUGCUUUAGGACUUUCUGGUUGCAAGCAAUAGGCACCCAACUUCUCCUUGCUGUAAACAAGAAGGGAUUGCUUUGCUCAGUAACUAAACUGGACAAAAGGUAGUGGUGGACUGGUCUCAAAAAGCCUUGGAAAAGGAAAUCAAGAACUACAAGCAACCUAAAGGUACUGAAAUGACAACAUGGAGCCAGACUGAGAGAAAACUACCUGGGAUUCAUCUCAUGACAUAAAGACUUACGUGGAAAACAAAACAAAACAAAACGUGUGUUGGUGGUGUAAGGGAUGGGGCAUGCCUUAUAUUUUUCUCACCACCUGCACCCUGAUCAACAAGAAAGUGAACCUCAAUCCCUGUCUAUCCAAUGGGACUUGUGUAAAGGACACCCACCUUCACCCCACCCUUCACUGCAACCACCUUCCUACAUUAAAGCAGGUGCUGUAAAAAGACAGGACAGAUUGUAGGGGGGGAGAGACAGAAGGGGAAGUGAGGAAGAAAGAAGAGAGUGGUGCCGGCAAAGGUCCUUCUGAGAUGUCAAGAAUCAAGUCCCGUAAAUGGAAGCAGAGGCAGGAGAAGUUUCAGUUUCCAUGCAUGUGGGGCACAGUAUCUUGUUUUGUUUUAAAAUCUAUCACACAGUGUUAGUGAAUCACAGCGACAGGCAGUAGGGACAGUAGGAAGAUGCCACCUUGUGACUGUAUUUUAUAAGACUAUCAGUUGUGAAUUUAACAAAGACAUUCUCCCCUGCACAGAUUGUUUCUUUAAGUAGAAGUACCUGAAGAUGGAGUUCACGAUGGAAAAGUCUUAGCAGUGGACACUGUAAACAAUUAAAAAGCAGUAAACAUAAGAAAAUGUUCUAACGCUAGAUACAGAUAAAGGUUUUAAAUACAUAUCAUUUUAUGUGUCUCAUUUAAUCCUGCCAUAAAUCCUGAAAU